rnacentral:rRNA from 1 species
GUUGGUAAGGUAACGGCUUACCAAGGCGACGAUCAGUAGCCGACCUGAGAGGGUGAUCGGCCACAUUGGAACUGAGACACGGUCCAAACUCCUACGGGAGGCAGCAGUGGGGAAUAUUGCACAAUGGGCGAAAGCCUGAUGCAGCAACGCCGCGUGAGCGAUGAAGGCCUUCGGGUCGUAAAGCUCUGUCCUCAAGGAAGAUAAUGACGGUACUUGAGGAGGAAGCCCCGGCUAACUACGUGCCAGCAGCCGCGGUAAUACGUAGGGGGCUAGCGUUAUCCGGAUUUACUGGGCGUAAAGGGUGCGUAGGUGGUCUCUUAAGUCAGGAGUGAAAGGCUACGGCUCAACCGUAGUAAGCUCUUGAAACUGGGAAACUUGAGUGCAGGAGAGGAAAGUGGAAUUCCUAGUGUAGCGGUGAAAUGCGUAGAUAUUAGGAGGAACACCAGUAGCGAAGGCGGCUUUCUGGACUGUAACUGACACUGAGGCACGAAAGCGUGGGGAGCAAACAGGAUUAGAUACCCUGGUAGUCCACGCCGUAAACGAUGAGUACUAGGUGUCGGGGGUUACCCCCCUCGGUGCCGCAGCUAACGCAUUAA